AGCGAACGCUGGCGGCAGGCCUAACACAUGCAAGUCGAACGGAUCCUUCGGGAUUAGUGGCGGACGUGUGAGUAACACGUGGGAACGUGCCCUUUGGUUCGGAACAACUCAGGGAAACUUGAGCUAAUACCGGAUGUGCCCUUCGGGGGAAAGAUUUAUCGCCAUUGGAGCGGCCCGCGUCUGAUUAGCUAGUUGGUGAGGUAACGGCCCACCAAGGCGACGAUCAGUAGCUGGUCUGAGAGGAGGAUCAGCCACACUGGGACUGAGACACGGCCCAGACUCCUACGGGAAGCAGCAGUGGGGAAUCUUGCGCAAUGGGCGAAAGCCUGACGCAGCCAUGCCGCGUGAAUGAUGAAGGUCUUAGGAUUGUAAAAUUCUUUCAGCGGAGACGAUAAUGACGGUACCCGCAGAAGAAGCUCCGGCUAACUUCGUG
rnacentral:rRNA from 1 species